rnacentral:rRNA from 1 species
CGAACGCUGGCGGCAUGGAUUGGGCAUGCAAGUCGAACGAAGUAGCAAUACUUAGUGGCGCAAGGGUGAGGAACGCGUGAGUGACCUACCCGCAAGUUUGGAACAGCUCCUGGAAACGGGAAUUAAUACCGGAUGUGAUCAAUGGACUGCAUGGUUUAUUGAUUAAAGCAGUAAUGCGCUUGCGGAUGGGCUCGCGUCCCAUUAGCUAGUUGGUGAGGUAACGGCCCACCAAGGCCAUGAUGGGUAGCUGGUCUGAGAGGACGACCAGCCACACUGGGACUGAGAACUGCCCAGACUCCUACGGGAGGCUGCAGUCGAGAAUUUUGGGCAAUGGACGAAAGUCUGACCCAGCAAUGCCGCGUGCGGGAUGAAGGUCUUCGGAUUGUAAACCGCUGUUUGGAGGGACGAAAAUUGACGGUACUUCCAGAGAAAGCCACGGCUAACUACGUGCCAGCAGCGGC